GACGAACGCUGGCGGCGUGCCUAACACAUGCAAGUCGAACGGAAGUAAGAGCUUCGGUUUUUGCUUUAGUGGCGAACGGGUGAGUAACGCGUGAGGAACCUGCCUUUCAGUGGGGGACAACAGUUGGAAACGACUGCUAAUACCGCAUAAUGUUUCCGGUCCGCAUGGACUGGAAACCAAAGCUUUAUGUGCUGAAAGAUGGCCUCGCGUCUGAUUAGAUAGUUGGUGGGGUAACGGCCUACCAAGUCGACGAUCAGUAGCCGGACUGAGAGGUUGAACGGCCACAUUGGGACUGAGAUACGGCCCAG
rnacentral:rRNA from 1 species